rnacentral:rRNA from 1 species
GAUGAACGCUGGCGGCGUGCCUAAUACAUGCCAGUCGAGCGAACGGACGAGAAGCUUGCUUCUCUAAUGUUAGCGGCGGACGGGUGAGUAACACGUGGAUAACCUACCUAUAAGACUGGGAUAACUUCGGGAAACCGUAGCUAAUACCGGAUAAUAUUUUGAACCGCAUGGUUCAAAAGUGAAAGACGGUCUUGCUGUCACUUAUAGAUGGAUCCGCGCUGCAUUAGCUAGUUGGUAAGGUAACGGCUUACCAAGGCAACGAUGCAUAGCCGACCUGAGAGGGUGAUCGGCCACACUGGAACUGAGACACGGUCCAGACUCCUACGGGAGGCAGCAGUAGGGAAUCUUCCGCAAUGGGCGAAAGCCUGACGGAGCAACGCCGCGUGAGUGAUGAAGGUCUUCGGAUCGUAAAACUCUGUUAUUAGGGAAGAACAUAUGUGUAAGUAACUGUGCACAUCUUGACGGUACCUAAUCAGAAAGCCACGGCUAACUACGUG